UAGGGANNCUUCGGCAAUGGACGAAAGUCUGACCGAGCAACGCCGCGUGAGUGAAGAAGGUUUUCGGAUCGUAAAGCUCUGUUGUAAGAGAAGAACGGGUGUGAGAGUGGAAAGUUCACACUGUGACGGUAUCUUACCAGAAAGGGACGGCUAACUACGUGCCAGCAGCCGCGGUAAUACGUAGGUCCCGAGCGUUGUCCGGAUUUAUUGGGCGUAAAGCGAGCGCAGGCGGUUAGAUAAGUCUGAAGUUAAAGGCUGUGGCUUAACCAUAGUACGCUUUGGAAACUGUUUAACUUGAGUGCAGAAGGGGAGAGUGGAAUUCCAUGUGUAGCGGUGAAAUGCGUAGAUAUAUGGAGGAACACCGGUGGCGAAAGCGGCUCUCUGGUCUGUAACUGACGCUGAGGCUCGAAAGCGUGGGGAGCGAACAGGAUUAGAUACCCUGGUAGUCCACGCCGUAAACGAUGAGUGCUAGGUGUUAGGCCCUUUCCGGGGCUUAGUGCCGCAGCUAACGCAUUAAGCACUCCGCCUGGGGGAGUACGACCGCAAGGUUG
rnacentral:rRNA from 1 species